AGGGUGUAAACGCUGCAGACUUGGUGUUGGAAGUCCUUUGGGGGUAUUCAGUGCCGGAGAGAAGUUGUUAAGUCUGCUACUUGGGGAGUACGUCCGCAAGGAUGAAACUUAAAGGAAUUGGCGGGGGAGGCACCGCAACGGGAGGAGCGUGCGGUUUAAUUGGAUUCAACACCGUAAAACUCACCCGGGAAGACUGUUACAUGAAGGCCGAGAUGAAGACUCUGCUAGAUUUUCAGAGAGGAGGUGCAUGGCGUCAGUGACU
rnacentral:rRNA from 1 species